AUGAUUUCUGCAGUAGCAUUUGCUAGUGCCUUGUAUUCUGCUUCUGUGCUGGAUCUAGACACAGUAGCUUGUUUCUUAGCACACCAGGAAAUUAAAUUUGGACCAAAGAACACUGCAAAACCUCCUGUUGAGCGUCUAUCAUCAAGACAACACUACUGGAAACUGGGAAUUUGCCAUCAGCCAGCUCUUUGCCAUCUGCCAGCUGAUGGCAAAGAACGUCUUUGCCAUAUGCUUAUAAAAAACAGAUGGCAAAGAACUGACAGACGGCAAAGAACAUGGUUGCCAUCAGCCAAUUCUUUGCCAUCUGCUAGUGGAUGGCAAAUAAUCUUUGCCAUCUGCCAGCAGAUGGCAAAUAAUCUUUGCCAUCUGAGGUUGGCAAAUCCUGUGGCCGUCGAGAGUGUAACGACGUACCAGCCCCACCUCUUUGCCAUCUGA
rnacentral:rRNA from 1 species